rnacentral:rRNA from 1 species
UACGUAGGGUGCGAGCGUUGUCCGGAAUUAUUGGGCGUAAAGCGCGUGUAGGCGGCUUUGCAAGUCGGGUGUGAAAGCCCUCAGCUCAACCGAGGAAGUGCGCCCGAAACUGCAGAGCUUGAGUGCCGGAGAGGGUGGCGGAAUUCCCCAAGUAGAGGUGAAAUUCGUAGAUAUGGGGAGGAACACCGGUGGCGAAGGCGGCCACCUGGACGGUAACUGACGCUGAGACGCGAAAGCGUGGGGAGCAAACAGG